rnacentral:rRNA from 1 species
CAGUCGAACGAUGAUGCCCAGCUUGCUGGGCGGAUUAGUGGCGAACGGGUGAGUAAUACGUGAGUAACCUGCCCUUGACUCUGGGAUAAGCCUGGGAAACUGGGUCUAAUACUGGAUACUACCUCUUACCGCAUGGUGGGUGGUGGAAAGGGUUUUACUGGUUUUGGAUGGGCUCACGGCCUAUCAGCUUGUUGGUGGGGUAAUGGCUCACCAAGGCGACGACGGGUAGCCGGCCUGAGAGGGUGACCGGCCACACUGGGACUGAGACACGGCCCAGACUCCUACGGGAGGCAGCAGUGGGGAAUAUUGCACAAUGGGCGGAAGCCUGAUGCAGCGACGCCGCGUGAGGGAUGACGGCCUUCGGGUUGUAAACCUCUUUCAGUAGGGAAGAAGCGAGAGUGACGGUACCUGCAGAAGAAGCGCCGGCUAACUACGUGCCAGCAGCCGCGGUAAUACGUAGGGCGCAAGCGUUGUCCGGAAUUAUUGGGCGUAAAGAGCUCGUAGGCGGUUUGUCGCGUCUGCUGUGAAAGCCCGGGGCUCAACCCCGGGUCUGCAGUGGGUACGGGCAGACUAGAGUGCAGUAGGGGAGACUGGAAUUCCUGGUGUAGCGGUGAAAUGCGCAGAUAUCAGGAGGAACACCGAUGGCGAAGGCAGGUCUCUGGGCUGUUACUGACGCUG